CGCGGAGUGGAGCAGUUUGGUAGCUCGUUAGGCUCAUAACCUAAAGGUCGUAGGUUCGAAUCCUGCCUCCGCAA
rnacentral:tRNA from 1 species